rnacentral:rRNA from 1 species
AUUGAACGCUGGCGGCAUGCCUUACACAUGCAAGUCGAACGGUAACAGGUCUUCGGAUGCUGACGAGUGGCGAACGGGUGAGUAAUAUAUCGGAACGUGCCCAGUCGUGGGGGAUAACGCAGCGAAAGCUGUGCUAAUACCGCAUACGAUCUAUGGAUGAAAGCGGGGGAUCGCAAGACCUCGCGCGAUUGGAGCGGCCGAUAUCAGAUUAGGUAGUUGGUGGGGUAAAGGCCCACCAAGCCAACGAUCUGUAGCUGGUCUGAGAGGACGACCAGCCACACUGGAACUGAGACACGGUCCAGACUCCUACGGGAGGCAGCAGUGGGGAAUUUUGGACAAUGGGCGCAAGCCUGAUCCAGCAAUGCCGCGUGCAGGAUGAAGGCCUUCGGGUUGUAAACUGCUUUUGUACGGAACGAAAAGGACUCUGGUUAAUACCUGGGGCUCAUGACGGUACCGUAAGAAUAAGCACCGGCUAACUACGUGCC